rnacentral:rRNA from 1 species
UACGGGGGGAGCAAGCGUUGUUCGGAUUUACUGGGCGUAAAGGGCGCGUAGGCGGCCACUGCAAGUCGGUUGUGAAAUCUCCGGGCUUAACCCGGAAAGGUCAAUCGAUACUGCAGGGCUAGAGUGCAGAAGGGGCAACUGGAAUUCUCGGUGUAGCGGUGAAAUGCGUAGAUAUCGAGAGGAACACCUGCGGCGAAGGCGGGUUGCUGGGCUGACACUGACGCUGAAACGCGAAGCUGAAGG